AGCUCAGCGGUUAAGAGCACUGGUUGCUCUUCCAGAGAACCUGGGUUCAAUUCCCAG
rnacentral:tRNA from 1 species